rnacentral:rRNA from 1 species
GAUGAACGCUAGCUACAGGCUUAACACAUGCAAGUCGAGGGGAAACGACAUCGAAAGCUUGCUUUUGCUGGGCGUCGACCGGCGCACGGGUGAGUAACGCGUAUCCAACCUGCCCAUCACUUGGGAAUAACCUUGCGAAAGUAAGACUAAUACCCAAUGAUAUCCCACGAAGGCAUCGGAAUGGGAUUAAAGAUUUAUCGGUGAUGGAUGGGGAUGCGUCUGAUUAGCUUGUUGGCGGGGUAACGGCCCACCAAGGCAACGAUCAGUAGGGGUUCUGAGAGGAAGGUCCCCCACAUUGGAACUGAGACACGAUCCAAACUCCUACGGGAGGCAGCAGUGAGGAAUAUUGGUCAAUGGGCGAGAGCCUGAACCAGCCAAGUAGCGUGCAGAAAGACGGCCCUAUGGGUUGUAAACUGCUUUUAUAAGGGAAUAAAGUGGGUCACGUGUGACUUUUUGCAUGUACCUUAUGAAUAAGGACCGGCUAAUUCCGUG